AUGGUUGAAGAAGAGGUGCGUGGCGCCGGUGUCGCGGACGAGCUGGAGCAGCGCGGCGACGGAGUCGGCCGACCUCCGGGUGACGAGCUUGGCGGCGCCGAGGCGGUGGAGCGAGGCCUCCAGGUGCUUGAGGCUCUGGCUGAGCCACCACCGCGACACGCGGCCGGGGAAGUAGGGGCCGUCCUCCUCCGGCGACCACACGUACGCCGGCACCACCUCCCCGGCGGUGCGCGCCGCCGCCGCCAGCGCCGGGUUGUCCUCCACCCUGAGGUCCCUCCGGAACCAGACCACGCACUUCAUCCCGGCGUCCCCGCCGCACAUAGACGAGGACGAGACCGACAUGGCCGGCCAACCCACAACCCUAUCCCCUCCUGUCCAAGAACCACCACCUCCUAUCCAAGAAACAAACCCCCGACCCCCACUCCUCGGAUCAAGAACACGUCGGAGAGACCAUGGAGCCGAUCAAGAACCGGGCAGCUCAGGCUCGGAAGAAUCCCGGGAACAGUGGAGCCGAGCUGCGCUGCGCUGGAUUGGAUUGGGUCAGGCGAUUUUUCUUUUUCUGCUCUGGCGUCCUUGGCCUCGGAGUGA
rnacentral:rRNA from 1 species